rnacentral:rRNA from 1 species
GACGAACGCUGGCGGCGUGCCUAAUACAUGCAAGUUGAGCGCUGAAGGGUGGUACUUGUACCAACUGGAUUAGCAGCGAACGGGUGAGUAACGCGUGGGGAAUCUGCCUUUGAGCAGGGGACAACAUUUGGAAACGAAUGCUAAUACCGCAUAAAAACUUUAAACACAAGUUUUAAGUUUGAAAGAUGCAAUUGCAUCACUCAAAGAUGAUCCCGCGUUGUCUUAGCUAGUUGGUGAGGUAAAGGCUCACCAAGGCGAUGAUACAUAGCCGAACUGAGAGGGGGAUCCGGCAAAAUGGGAAUGAGAACCGGGCCAAACCACUAAGGGAGGGAGCAGGAAGGAAACUUUGGGAAUGGAGGGAAGGCCGGACGGGCAAAGGCGGGGGAAGGAAGAAGGGUGUCGGAUCGGAAAAAUCUGUUGAUAGAGAAGGACGAAGGUGGGAGGGGAAAGCGCACGAAGUGACGGUAACUAACCAGAAAGGGACGGCUAACUACGUG